ensembl:snRNA U6 U6 spliceosomal RNA
AUACAUAUGCAUGCACAUAUACUAAAAGUGGAAUGAUACAGAGAGGAUUAGCAUGGCCCCUGCACAAUGAUGACACACAAAUCAUGAAGUGUUCCAUAUUUUU